AUACGGAGGAUCCGAGCGUUAUCCGGAUUUAUUGGGUUUAAAGGGUGCGCAGGCGGGAGAUUAAGUCGGCGGUGAAAUUUUGCAGCUCAAAUGUAAAAGUGCCUUCGAAACUGGUUUUCUUGAGUGUAGAUGAAGUAGGGGGAAUUUGGGGUGUAGCGGUGAAAUGCAUAGAUAUCACGAGGAACUCCGAUUGCGCAGGCAGCUUACUAAACUACUACUGACGCUCAGGCACGAAGGCGUGGGGAUCAAACAGGAUUAGAUACCCUGGUAGUCCACGCAGUAAACGAUGAUUACUAGCUGUUUGCGAUACAAUGUAAGCGGCUGAGCGAAAGCGUUAAGUAAUCCACCUGGGGAGUACGUUCGCAAGAAUGAAACUCAAAUGAAUUGACGGGG
rnacentral:rRNA from 1 species